UACGGAGGGGGCAAGCGUUGUUCGGAAUUAUUGGGCGUAAAGGGCGCGUAGGCGGCCGGCCAAGUCGGGUGUGAAAUCCCUCGGCUCAACCGAGGAACUGCACUCGAUACUGGCUGGCUUGAGUCCGGGAGGGGAUGGUGGAAUUCCCAGUGUAGCGGUGAAAUGCGUAGAUAUUGGGAAGAACACCGGUGGCGAAGGCUACCAUCUGGACCGGAACUGACGCUGAGGCGCGAAAGCCAGGGGAGCGAAUGGG
rnacentral:rRNA from 1 species